UUUAUUUUGAAAUCUUAGUGAUAUUUCUAAUACAGUGUUGUACAGAAUGAUGCUGGUGCAUUUAUACCUACAAAACAAAAGUUAUUGAUGAGAUAAUAUACCAAGUAUAUUGCUUUUCUAUUUGCAUGCCUUUGGCUCUCCAAAACCAAAUUUUUUACAAGGACAUGUAGUGGUAGAAAAAGGGAGAAUGGCUUUAAACUGAAGUUUGGUUUACAUUCAAUAUAAGGAAGAAAUUUUUUAGUGUGAUGGUGUUGAGUUGCUGGAAGAGAUUGCCCAGAGAAGUAAUGGUUGCCUCAUCCCUGGCAAAUCCCCACCACACAGGGUGGUUGAGUUGCAGUAUUGCAGUCUGUCCAUUAACAUCCUAACUCAGUUCAAAAUGUGCAGUCAGUCAUACAGGUUUGGGCUUCUUCUGUCUGCGAAGUGGCACUCUUAAAAUACCUUUUAAAAAAGUCACAGAGCAGUUGUUCCUACUAGAGAUGAAGAACAACACUCUUGCUCUCCAGCCAGCAGCUCAAACAUUUAAACACCCCCAUGCCUCUCAGUAGUCUGAGUGAUACUGGAUGAGGGAGCACUAUCAGGGACAGCAUUUCAUAAGAGAGGCCUGGCAGUGCAGACGGCUUUAUUUUAUGGGAUCAUGUGUCAGGAAGAGACAGCAAGAUGCUCCAACAUGAAGAAAGGAGGGAAUGUAAACUUCACCAAUGACUUGGAUUAGCCCAUCUUUCUCUGUGAGAAUAUAAACUUAUGAUGUGGUCUCACCUGAAGGUGUUAUUUUAUAAAAAUGAAUGCAGGGUAAUGCUUGCAAUUCUCUGAGCUGAUGUUUGAGUCUUUCCCAACAAUUACUGGCUGAGUCAUCACUUUUAAAGAGUAGCUGUUUGUAAACAGAUACAAAUAUAGUGUAGAAAUCACAAGAGAAGAUUAUUUCAUUAAAAAUAUCCUUCCCCCAAAAAGGCAAAUGAAAAUAAAGUGAAACUGGUAUGUGUUUUAGCAAGUGGAGAAUUUGGAGAAUUGAAGAAGAGCUGGCAGUCUGUACUGGAAACUUGAAGUUGCUGCUGUGGCUUAUGAUAAUUGGAAAGAAAAUACUAUCAGUAUAUGUGUAAGGAAUAGAUUAACCAUGGCAGGGGCACACAGUUUUUGCUCUAAAAAUAGAUGUUUAUAAAGUUGGGAAGGUAGAAAUAUUCCAUAAAGCUAUUCCAGCACAGAAUUGUUCUAAAAGAAAUAGCGUGAUCCAUUGUGGUGGUAAAAUAUAUUCUACUUAAUUGGUAGCAAGGCAGUGCGUUAAACAGCAACUGCUGACAGGAAACAUUUGGGUAGAGUGAAUAACUCGAAUCUAGAAAUAUUAAAUGAAUUACCUUAGGAGCAUUCUGAAUCUGUAAUGUGGGUUUUCGACAAUCAUUGUACAGCUGGGAAAAUUUCAAAAUCUUUGAGAGUUGCAGUGAGGGUUAAGGUCUCAGUAUUUAAGAGAAGGUAAGUAGAGGGAUUGAGAGCUAAGCCACUGAACGUAACUCCCUGUGCUGCAAGUGUUGCAAACCACUUAGGAAGUUGAGCUUGCUGGAGGGUUUAAAUGGGGAGGGGGAGAAAUAGGGUUGAACAUUGUUUUUAGUGUGUCUACAGAGGUGUAAGGAAGGAAUUUGACAGAAGUCCCUCUAGCGGAAAUCACAGUAUCUUGGAUGCAGCCAUCAAACAAGUCCAUCUCUCCACUGUUUCCUUUUGGGAAGGAAACAUGGACUGGGAAUCUCAGUUGAGAGGCUGCUGAUUCCUUAAGUAUUGUGACAAGAGGAAUCCUCAUCUCCCAGCACUACAGAGUGGCCAGAAUCUGCAGCCAAGUACAGGAAAUCCUGGUUUUCAGUAAAGAUUCAUUUCAUUGUCAUGUUCUACAGGUACAAUGGAUGUUUAUUCUUUUGGAUGAGAAAAGUUGCUGUUAGCCCCCUGACAGGAGGAGACUUCUUGUGGUACAAAGCUUGGGUCCUUGCUCCUGCACUUUUGUUUGACCAGGUGGAAGAGCGCUACCAGAGGCACGCACACGCAAGGAAGGGCAGCCAACAGCACACAAAUGGCCUGUAUCCAAGCUGGAUAAACUUUCUCCUCUUUCAUGGGGAAGCCUUCCUGUGGAGAUAAAAAAGCAAGCAAAAGAAAUAAUUCAUAGAUGUACACAACUCCAAUCACUUCAAAGAAAGCGAUGACUAGAAGAGGCACUGAAGCUGCAUAUCUGUCAAAAAUGUCAAUCCAGUAACUCCCUGAACCCAGUGUAAAACACAGAGCAAUGAGGAAGCUAAUUAGACAUAUUAUACCUGAAGAAAAAAAGAUAUCUUUGUUACUAGAGUACUGGAAAGGAAAGGAAAAAUCCAGUGCUCCUGUGUUUGAAGCACUGCUGUGGCUGCGGAGGCAGCGGAUGCUUGAGAAUGUGUCAGUGAGUGCUGCUUUUCCUCCUCUACACCCACCACUUCAUGGAGCUUUUUAGCCAUGAAGGCAGAGUUGUGAGGAGCCUUUAGUGGAUAGCAACCACUUAGUGGGACAGUUUGACUUUGCAUUUGGGAAUGCUGCCAAGGACAGUGUAGGAAAGGUGCUUCUGAAAUGGCCAGCAUGUGGAGGGAUCUGGAACUCCUGUCCAUGUGAGAAGUUCAACAUAUGAGAAGUUAAGAAAAAUGGGAGCAGGGCUGUUCUCCAGCAGUUAUUUUAGGAAGAGAUAUGGGGAAGGGGAGAAAUACUAUGAAGAAACAGGGGCAGGGGAAAAUUACUUUCAACCUUCCAAAAAAUCACUUUACAGUGUAAAUUCUCUUUGUGAAUUCUUAAAAGAUUAAAACUGUGUAAAUUCUGUAGCAGUGGCAGGGAAAUCCCAUCUUUCUCAUGUACUUGUGAAGUACAUCAGUUUCACUUACACAUUAAAGACUGAGUCACCUUAAACUGAGUCAUUCUUAAACUUAAUUUUCCAGUAUUUUCUUGUAGGCUUACUACUGAACUGUUAAAUUCUUUGCUGCUUAUUUUCUUGUAUAAAUAUAUUAAAAUAAUUAAGUCACUUCAUCUCAGAAAAAGACCUUAGCUGAGCUCUUGGAUAGACAUCUAAACCAGGAGUUAUUGGAAAAUAGUAUGAAAUCUGAGGAGGAGUAAAAGAAAAAUUAAUACUAAU